AGAUUUAACGAAAGUGGCGAACGGGUGAGUAACACGUGAGCAACCUGCCUUACACAGGGGAUAGCCAUUGGAAACGGUGAUUAAUACCCCAUAAGACCACAAUACCGCAUGGUAAAAGGGUAAAAGGGAUACCGGUGUAAGAUGGGCUCGCGUCUGAUUAGCUAGUUGGUGGGGUAAAGGCCUACCAAGGCGACGAUCAGUAGCCGGUCUGAGAGGAUGAACGGCCACAUUGGAACUGAGACACGGUCCAAACUCCUACGGGAGGCAGCAGGG
rnacentral:rRNA from 1 species